UCUACUUAAUAUCGGUU
rnacentral:sRNA from 1 species